UACGUAGGGUGCGAGCGUUGUCCGGAAUUAUUGGGCGUAAAGAGCUCGUAGGCGGCUUGUCGCGUCGACCGUGAAAACUCGCAGCUCAACUGCGAGCCUGCGGUCGAUACGGGCAGGCUAGAGUUCGGUAGGGGAGACUGGAAUUCCUGGUGUAGCGGUGAAAUGCGCAGAUAUCAGGAGGAACACCGAUGGCGAAGGCAGGUCUCUGGGCCGAUACUGACGCUGAGGAGCGAAAGCGUGGGGAGCGAACAGG
rnacentral:rRNA from 1 species